rnacentral:rRNA from 1 species
AUGGGAACGCGAAGAACCUUACCUACUCUCGACAUCCAGAGAACUUUCCAGAGAUGGAUUGGUGCCUUCGGGAACUCUGAGACAGGUGCUGCAUGGCUGUCGUCAGCUCGUGUUGUGAAAUGUUGGGUUAAGUCCCGCAACGAGCGCAACCCGUUAUCCUUUGUUGCCAGCGGUUCGGCCGGGAACUCAAAGGAGACUGCCAGUGAUAAACUGGAGGAAGGUGGGGAUGACGUCAAGUCAUCAUGGCCCUUACGAGUAGGGCUACACACGUGCUACAAUGGCGCAUACAAAGAGAAGCGACCUCGCGAGAGCAAGCGGACCUCAUAAAGUGCGUCGUAGUCCGGAUUGGAGUCUGCAACUCGCCUACAUGAAGUUGGAGUUGCUAGUAAUCGCGAAUCAGAAUGUCGCGGUGAAUACGUUCCCGGGUCUUGUACACACCG